GUCCUUUUGGUUUUUAUUUAAGGUCUGACCUGCCCACUGAUAUAUUUAAUGGCCGCGGUAUUUUGACCGUGCAAAGGUAGCAUAAUAAUUUGUCUUUUAAUUGAAGGCUUGUAUGAAUGGUUGGACGAGAAAACCACUUUCUUUAUAAUAAAAUAAUUAAUUUUAUUUUUUAGUUAAAAAGCUAAAAUAUUGUUGUAGGACGAGAAGACCCUAUAGAACUUUAUAUUUAUUGUUGUAUUAAUAUUUUUUGUUUAUAAUAUAUUAUAUUUUUAUAAAUAUUUUGUUGGGGCGACAAGAAAAUUUAUUUAACUUUUUUUAUAAAUUUCAUUAAUUUAUGUAUAAAUGAUCCUUUAUUAAGGAUAAUUAGAAUAAGUUACCUUAGGGAUAACAGCGUAAUUUUUUUGGAGAGUUCUUAUCGAUAAAUAAGUUUGCGA
rnacentral:rRNA from 1 species